CAUUAAAAUAAUGUCAGUACACUGGUUACUUUUCUCACCCAGCUCCAUGCUGUACUUUAAUUCAACAUGACUCUCGUUGGCUCAUUCACAUGAAUAUUAAUUUCAACAUGAUUUUCAUCAACUUAAUCACAUAUGAAUAUAUUUUACAUGAAUAUACUGAUUCUCUUUACAAUUCCAACUCAGUGCCAUACAAAUAUGUUUCCCUUCCAUGACUAUCUGUCUGCCACUCACAAUCUAAACAAUAUGACUCACACUAUGGGAGCAGCUUCACUAUCGUUUUAUUUUUAUUUGUAAUACUCGCAGCAGUCACACACUGCUCCAUCUCAGGCGUCUCUCCACCCCGUCAGGUCCCGUCCACCUGCUCACAUAGGGGAGACAUGAUUAGACGAUGGGGAUUGGCUGCGUUGGUCAGCCUCCCCUGAGACCGCCCCUGAACCCACUGCUUCACCCCUCCUCUGCAGCUGAGGCACAAACCACACCCACCCUCAAAUACGAAGCCAGUCUUUAUUGAAUGCCAAGGUUAAAUAUAUUUCAUUGAACCUUUAAGUUGGUUUGGACAGGAAUUCAAAGUGAUAUGAGAUCAACUGAUGCAAGCUGUGAAUCGGUGUCUGGAAAGGGAUCUCAAAACUGGACUGUAGGUGGCAGACAGUUGGUGCCAUAAGCCACCCCCUGUGUUCAAGGGUGGCUGUUCACGGUUUCAAACCAUCUGUCUUCUCUGUCCAAAAUGUGAACACUGACAUCCUCGAAAGAGUACCUUUAUCCUUUAUAUGCAGAUGUACAGCUGAGUCUUGUGGAAACCAGCCAGGACAGCUUGUGAAACAUCUCCUUAGAUAUUGUUGAAUUCAGUUGUGUAAAUCCACAAAGAGCAGAAAACCUCAGAGCAAGAGCUGUAAAGCUCAGCUGAUCAUAGCCAGUUGUACUGGAAAUUUCUUUAUUCUAUGUAUUGGUCACAUAUUUUAACCAUAUCACUAUGGUAAUAGUAAUAUCACUUUCUCAUUUAGUUGUAUGCAUGAAUGUUAUCACAGAGGGCCUAUUGUAGAGUUGAAGACAUCCAGGCACCCUGUUCAAGGGAGGUGACGGAGGUCGUAACUUUUCUUCGAGUGGGAGGGGGUCAGGAAUGAGCUGGACUGAAGGUAUAGUGGUAUAUGAUGUGCUGUGGAGUGUUCUUUGUUUGAGAGUGUUUGUGGGGGUAUAAAAGAGUUCAGGGUGGUGUCCUUUCUCAGAAAAGCAUUUUGGUGUUUGACCUGAAUGUUUUCUCCACUGCAGUGUUCUUAAUAAACUUCACUUCAGAAACAUGCUCACCUGGUGAUUGCAGUUUUAUUUAAGAUUUUCCACAACACUAUAUACUAAGAAAACGUCUUGACCUCACAAAGAAAUUAUUGUGCAUUGUGAUUCUUUCCCCUAUUCCAGGGGUGUCGAACUCCAGGCCUCGAGGCCUGGUGUCCUGCAGGUAUUAGAUCUCACCCUGGGUCAAGACACCUGAAUCAAAUGAUUAGUUCAUUACCAGGUGUAACGUUGGACCCGUUAAGCAUAGGCAGGACACGGACGUUAUGACAGCACUACUUUAUUUUCGAAUGUGAUUACACUGUGGUUUUUGUUUUCACUGGGACACAGACACUCCCGUUCUGCUGUCACGUCCGCUCUCUGCCCCUCCAACUGUCACUGUGAACAUACAAGGAGACAUAAUCUCACUCACAUCCCAGCACACCUGUUCCCUGUCUCAAAGUUAUUCACCUGCUCACUCAGUUUGUCUCUUCACCACCCCUCGUUCAACUUCAUACCUUGCCUGGCCGCUCUUCACCUGUACCACCUUACAACCUCUGGAAAUCCACCUGCUAAGUUCUAAUGAAGCUUAUGUGUAAGUUCAAUAAACAAGCUCUAUAGUCACACAUCUCUGUUUCUCAGGUGUUUCCGGCUAAUCUAAGCUUUACAUCACUUCCACUUUCUCCGUAUAUGUCCAUACACCUGUCUUCCCAUGCAUACAUCCUUACCUUGAUUCAUACAUCACUACAUACAUAUGUGUUUAAUCUGUAUAUAAACUAGUGAUAAUAUUUGGUGAUGUGAUUUUUCCUUAUUAUUUCUAGCACAGAAUUAAGAUUUUAAGAUUGAUGUAACUCACACAUUAGCUAGAGCCAGGGCACAUUGUGUAAGUGACCUCAUCUCACAAGUAUUAAAAUUUUUCUUUUUGAGUUUUUAAACAGCAACACUUUUUACACUUUGGUUUUCAUACCUUUGGACAGAAGGAAGCCAGCUGUCUCCUCUGCUCUUGGUGUUUUUGCUAAGCUGACCAUCUGCAGUUUCAUAUUUGUAUGUUUUUCAGACCCAAAGUGGAUAGAAGUGUUUCCUAAAGUGCCAAAACUAUUAAUCCUUUCUCAGUAUGCCAUACUGGUUUCAAAAUAUUCAUUCACUUGUUUUGCAUAGAAAGGGACUGUAAAUAAAGUACAGCUCUCACUAUGAAUGAAUCCAGAAAACUAAAAUGUGGCUGUAUUUGAUUUCAGACUGUGAUGCCAUUUCCACUACAAACCAGAGAGAAAGAGAAAAGGGUUUUUUGGAAGCUUUUGGCCAUGAGAGGGCGCUCUUCUGUGCCCUUCAGUACACAGCCAUUUCAAAUAAUGCCAUCACUUGCUGUUGACUGAACACGUUAUGUACUGUAAGAGUAAAUGUGUAAUACUGUAACCUUUCAGCAAGAAUGCUCCCAGGGAAAGGACUAGAGUUUGAAACUAAGGAAUAUGAGGAUGUCAUGAACAAAGAAAAUGAGGUGGAAGACCUCAGUCAUAGCAACCACACCGCUGCAGUGGAGCCCAGUGCUUCAACAGCCAUCAUCCCAGGACACACUCUAUAAUCCAGCAUGCUUUUGGAAUGAUGAAGACCAGGUUCCAGGGCAUCUUCCUGCAAACAGGUGCACUACACCUUUGUAUCUCAUGUAAGUAACAGCCUUGUUCUGAGAUGUCUCCCCUGGAAGAGGUACCACCACACCAUCACUACUAUUGACAGUGGACAAUGGAAAGAAGCAUCCCAAACCUCUCUACAGACCACCCUGUGUGACCACCCUGUGCUUACCAACCAGACUUCAUGUUCAGGCAAAUAUCAGGUGAAUUACGGAAACGUGUGGAGGGAGCUGCGCACCAUUUUACAUAGACACAGCUGGAAGUUGUUUUGUCACCACGGACCACGGAGAGAAGCCACUGCACGGGAGCUGGGAACCAUCACAAGAA